UCAUAUCCCAAUGGGGAACUGCCUUCGUUCCUGUUUCUAUAACUGAGAAGAGAUACCAUGGCCAUGGCAACUCUUAUAAAGGUUAAUUUGGAAACUCAACAGCACUCUCAAGGCGAAGAGUACUUUUUUCAAGCUAUUAUAAAUGGCAUCGAAUGCUUUGUCUUCUCAGAAUAAUUCAUUGUGAAAGGUGGCUUCUUGUAAAUCCAGCUCCAAGGAAUCCAGCGGCUCUUA